rnacentral:rRNA from 1 species
ACAUCGACGGGGAGGUUUGGCACCUCGAUGUCGGCUCGUCGCAUCCUGGGGCUGGAGAAGGUCCCAAGGGUUGGGCUGUUCGCCCAUUAAAGCGGCACGCGAGCUGGGUUCAGAACGUCGCAAGACAGUUCGGUCCCUAUCUGUUGUGGGCGUAGGAGUAUUGAGGAGAUCUGUCUCUAGUACGAGAGGACCGGGAUGGACGUACCGCUAGUGUACCAGUUGUGCCGCCAGGUGCAGCGCUGGGUAGCUAUGUACGGAAAGGAUAAGCGCUGAAAGCAUCUAAGCGCGAAGCCAACUCCAAGAUGAGUACUCCAUUGAGGGUCGUGGAAGAUGACCACGUUGAUAGGCUACAGGUGGAAGUGCAGUGAUGUAUGGAGCUGAGUAGUACUAAUAACCCGAUAGCUUCCUCAAA